rnacentral:rRNA from 1 species
ACUCCUACGGGAGGCAGCAGUGGGAGUAUUGAUGCAAUGGGCGCAAGCCUGAUCCAGCCAUGCCGCGUGUGUGAAGAAGGCCUUCGGGUUGUAAAGCACUUUCAGCGAGGAGGAAAGGUUAAGUGUUAAUAGCACUUAGCUGUGACGUUACUCGCAGAAGAAGCACCGGCUAACUCCGUGCCAGCAGCCGCGGUAAUACGGAGGGUGCAAGCGUUAAUCGGAAUUACUGGGCGUAAAGCGCGCGUAGGUUGUUUGUUAAGCGAGAUGUGAAAGCCCG